rnacentral:misc_RNA from 1 species
GAAAUGCGAUAAGUAAUGUGAAUUGCAGAAUUCAGUGAAUCAUCGAAUCUUUGAACGCACCUUGCGCUCCUUGGUAUUCCUUGGAGCAUGCCUGUUUGAGUAUCAUGAAAUCUUCAAAGUAAAUCUUUUGUUAACUCAAUUGGUUUCUACUUUGGUAUUGGAGGUCUUUGCAGCUUCACAACUGCUCCUCUUUGUUCAUUAGCUGGAUCUCAGUGUUAUGCUUGGUUCCACUCGGCGUGAUAAGUUAUCUAUCGCUGAGGACACUGUAAAAGGUGGCCAAGGUAAAUGCAGAUGAACCGCUUCUAAUAGUCCAUUGACUUGGACAAUACUUUUAUGAUCUGAUCUCAAAUCAGGUAGGACUACCCGCUGAACUUAAGC